rnacentral:rRNA from 1 species
GCUCCAGACUCCUACGGGAGGCAGCAGUGGGGAAUCUUCCGCAAUGGGCGCAAGCCUGACCCAGCAACGCCGCGUGAAGGAAGAAGGCUUUCGGGUUGUAAACUUCUUUUCUCAGGGACGAAGCAAGUGACGGUACCUGAGGAAUAAGCCGCGGCUAACUACGUGCCAGCAGCCGCGGUAAUACGUAGGUGGCAAGCGUUAUCCGGAUUUACUGGGUGUAAAGGGCGUGUAGGCGGGAAAGCAAGUCAGAUGUGAAAACCAUGGGCUCAACCUGUGGCCUGCAUUUGAAACUGUUUUUCUUGAGUACUGGAGAGGCAGACGGAAUUCCCGGUGUAGCGGUGAAAUGCGUAGAGAUCGGGAGGAACACCAGUGGCGAAGGCGGCCUACUGGGCUUUAACUGACGCUGAGGCACGAAAGCGUGGGUAGCAAACAGGAUUAGAUACCCCCGUA